GAAGGCGCUCUGCUGGGCCAUCACUGACGCUCAUGGACGAAAGCCAGGGGAGCGAAAGGGAUUAGAUACCCCUGUAGUCCUGGCCGUAAACGAUGAACACUAGGUGUCGGGGGAAUCGACCCCCUCGGUGUCGUAGCCAACGCGUUAAGUGUUCCGCCUGGGGAAUACGCACGCAAGUGUGAAACUCAAAGGAAUUGACGGGGGCCCGCACAAGCGGUGGAGUAUGUGGUUUAAUUCGAUGCAACGCGAAGAACCUUACCAGGGUUUGACAUCCUGCGAAUCUCUUGGAAACAGGAGAGUGCCUUCGGGAACGCAGUGACAGGUGGUGCAUGGCUGUCGUCAGCUCGUGUCGUGAGAUGUUGGGUUAAGUCCCGCAACGAGCGCAACCCACGUCUUUAGUUGCCAGCAUUUAGUUGGGCACUCUAGAGAGACUGCCGGUGAUAAACCGGAGGAAGGUGUGGAUGACGUCAAGUCAUCAUGCCCCUUACAUCCUGGGCUACACACGUACUACAAUGCUACGGACAAAGGGCAGCAAGUUCGCGAGGACAAGCAAAUCCCAUAAACCGUGGCUCAGUUCAGAUCGUAGGCUGCAACUCGCCUACGUGAAGGCGGAAUCGCUAGUAAUCGCAGGUCAGCAUACUGCGGUGAAUACGUUCCCGGGCCUUGUACACACCGCCCGUCACACCAUGGAAGUUGGCCACGCCCGAAGCCGUUACUCCAACCCUUGUGGAGGAGGACGUCGAAGGUGGGGCUGAUGACUGGGGUGAAGUCGUAACAAGGUAACCGUAG
rnacentral:rRNA from 1 species